rnacentral:rRNA from 1 species
GAUAAACGCUGGCGGCGUGCCUAAUACAUGCCAGUCGAACGCUUAAUAUCCAGCUUGAUGGAUAGAGCGAGUGGCGAACGGGUGAGUAAUAUAUAAGCAACCUGCCUACAAGGGCUGGGAUAACUUCUGGAAAUGGAUGCGAAUACCGGAUAGGAAAUAGGAAAACAUCUACUUAUUAGUAAAGGUUAAAAACAAAAAUGCACAGGUUUAUGACGUAUUUGUUAGUUGGUGGGGUAACGGCCUACCAAGACGAUAAUGCGUAGCCGACCUGAGAGGGUGACCGGCCACACUGGGACUGAGACACGGCCCAGACUCCUAGGGGAGGCAGUAGUAGGGAAUUUUCGGCAAUGGGCGCAAUCCUGACCGGGCAACGCGGCGUGAGUGAUUAAGGCCUUCGGGUUGUAAAGCUCUGUUGUAAGGGAUUAACAUUCAGGAUAGGAAAUGAUCUUGAACUGACGGUACCUUACCAGAAAGCCACGGCUAACUACGUGCCAGCAGCCGCCGUAACAC